AAAUUGAAGAGUUUGAUCAUGGCUCAGAUUGAACGCUGGCGGCAGGCCUAACACAUGCAAGUCGAACGGUAACAGAAAGCAGCUUGCUGCUUUGCUGACGAGUGGCGGACGGGUGAGUAAUGUCUGGGAAACUGCCYGAUGGAGGGGGAUAACUACUGGAAACGGUAGCUAAUACCGCAUAACGUCGCAAGACCAAAGAGGGGGACCUUCGGGCCUCUUGCCAUCGGAUGUGCCCAGAUGGGAUUAGCUUGUUGGUGGGGUAACGGCUCACCWAGGCGACGAUCCCUAGCUGGUCUGAGAGGAUGACCAGCCACACUGGAACUGAGACACGGUCCAGACUCCUACGGGAGGCAGCAGUGGGGAAUAUUGCACAAUGGGCGCAAGCCUGAUG
rnacentral:rRNA from 1 species